UCAUGGCCAAACCUCCUGGUCAAAGCCAGAUGUGGCCUCAGAAGCUCCACAGGGCUGGGCCUGGUCAGUACUUGGAUGAGAGACCACUGGGAAUUUCAGGGGCCACAGGGG
rnacentral:rRNA from 1 species